rnacentral:tRNA from 1 species
UGGACGAGGAGGGAAUUGAACCCUCGACCUUUCGCAGUUGCAGCAAAGAUGCGAAGCGAACAUCAUACCCCUAGACCACACGCCC